AGUGAACGCUGGCGGUAGGCCUAACACAUGCCAGUCGAACGGCAGCACAGUAAGAGCUUGCUCUUACGGGUGGCGAGUGGCGGACGGGUGAGGAAUACAUCGGAAUCUACUUUUUCGUGGGGGAUAACGUAGGGAAACUUACGCCAAUACCGCAUACGACCUACGGGUGAAAGCAGGGGAUCUUCGGACCUUGCGCGAUUGAAUGAGCCGAUGUCGGAUUAGCUAGUUGGCGGGGUAAAGGCCCACCAAGGCGACGAUCCGUAGCUGGUCUGAGAGGAUGAUCAGCCACACUGGAACUGAGACACGGUCCAGACUCCUACGGGAGGCAGCAGUGGGGAAUAUUGGACAAUGGGCGCAAGCCUGAUCCAGCCAUACCGCGUGGGUGAAGAAGGCCUUCGGGUUGUAAAGCCCUUUUGUUGGGAAAGAAAAGCAGCAGGUUAAUACCCCGCUGUUCUGACGGUACCCAAAGAAUAAGCACCGGCUAACUUCGUG
rnacentral:rRNA from 1 species